rnacentral:rRNA from 1 species
GGCGAACGCUGGCGGCGUGCUUAACACAUGCAAGUCGAGCGGAAAGGCCCUUUCGGGGGUACUCGAGCGGCGAACGGGUGAGUAACACGUGAGUAACCUGCCCUUGACUUUGGGAUAACCCCGGGAAACCGGGGCUAAUACCGGGUAUGACCCUGCCGGGCAUCUGGUGGGGUGGAAAGCUUUUGCGGUCAGGGAUGGGCUCGCGGCCUAUCAGCUUGUUGGUGGGGUGAUGGCCUACCAAGGCGAUGACGGGUAGCCGGCCUGAGAGGGCGGCCGGCCACACUGGGACUGAGACACGGCCCAGACUCCUACGGGAGGCAGCAGUGGGGAAUAUUGCACAAUGGGCGGAAGCCUGAUGCAGCGACGCCGCGUGAGGGAUGACGGCCUUCGGGUUGUAAACCUCUUUCGACAGGGACGAAGCGUGAGUGACGGUACCUGGAGAAGAAGCGCCGGCCAACUACGUGCCAGCAGCCGCCGUAACAC